ensembl:snRNA U1 U1 spliceosomal RNA
UCACAUGUAUAUCAAAAGACAUGUAAUGAUCACGAAUGUGGUUUUCCCAGGGCACGGCUUAUCUAUUGCACUCCAAAUGUGCUGACCCCUGCAAUUUCCCCAAGUGUGGGAAACUCGACUGCAUAAUUUGUAGUUGUGGGGGGACUGCAUUUGUGCAAAAUUAAA